rnacentral:rRNA from 1 species
AUUGAACGCUGGCGGCAUGCCUUACACAUGCAAGUCGAACGGCAGCACGGGAGCAAUCCUGGUGGCGAGUGGCGAACGGGUGAGUAAAGUAUCGGAACGUACCGUAGAGUGGGGGAUAACGUAGCGAAAGUUACGCUAAUACCGCAUAUUCCCUGAGGGGGAAAGCAGGGGAUCGCAAGACCUUGUGCUCUUUGAGCGGCCGAUAUCAGAUUAGCUAGUUGGUGAGGUAAAGGCUCACCAAGGCGACGAUCUGUAGCGGGUCUGAGAGGAUGGUCCGCCACACUGGAACUGAGACACGGUCCAGACUCCUACGGGAGGCAGCAGUGGGGAAUUUUGGACAAUGGGGGCAACCCUGAUCCAGCCAUGCCGCGUGAGUGAAGAAGGCCUUCGGGUUGUAAAGCUCUUUCGGCCGGGAAGAAAUCGCACAGGUUAAUACCCUGUGUGGAUGACGGUACCGGAAUAAGAAGCACCGGCUAACUACGUGCCAGCAGCCGCGGUAACACGUAGGGUGCGAGCGUUAAUCGGAAUUACUGGGCGUAAAGCGUGCGCAGGCGGUUUGUUAAGAUAGGCGUGAAAUCCCCGGGCUCAACCUGGGAACUGCGCUUAUGACUGGCAGGCUAGAGUACGGCAGAGGGGGGUGGAAUUCCACGUGUAGCAGUGAAAUGCGUAAAGA